AUCGCUUCUCAGCCUUUUGGCUAAGAUCAAGUAGUAUCUGUUCUUAUCAGUUUAAUAUCUGAUACGUCCUCUAUCCGAGGACAAUAUAUUAAAUAGAUUUUUAUAGCUCAGAGUUCUGUGUCCACUCCAUGCAUCAACCUGGUAUUACAGUACCUCUAGGAAUGGUGCACCCCCU
rnacentral:snRNA from 1 species